AAAGCGUGCGCAGGCGGUUAUGCAAGACAGAGGUGAAAUCCCCGGGCUCAACCUGGGAACUGCCUUUGUGACUGCAUAGCUAGAGUACGGUAGAGGGGGAUGGAAUUCCGCGUGUAGCAGUGAAAUGCGUAGAUAUGCGGAGGAACACCGAUGGCGAAGGCAAUCCCCUGGACCUGUACUGACGCUCAUGCACGAAAGCGUGGGGAGCAAACAGGAUUAGAUACCCUAGU
rnacentral:rRNA from 1 species